CCUACGGGGAGCAGCAGUGGGGAAUAUUGGACAAUGGGCGAAAGCCUGAUCCAGCCAUGCCGCGUGUGUGAAGAAGGCCUUCGGGUUGUAAAGCACUUUCAGUGGGGAAGAAAGCCUUGGGGCUAAUACCCUCGAGGAAGGACAUCACCCACAGAAGAAGCACCGGCUAACUCCGUGCCAGCAGCCGCGGUAAUACGGAGGGUGCGAGCGUUAAUCGGAAUUACUGGGCGUAAAGCGCGCGUAGGCGGUCUGAUAAGCCGGUUGUGAAAGCCCCGGGCUCAACCUGGGAACGGCAUCCGGAACUGUCAGGCUAGAGUGCAGGAGAGGAAGGUAGAAUUCCCGGUGUAGCGGUGAAAUGCGUAGAGAUCGGGAGGAAUACCAGUGGCGAAGGCGGCCUUCUGGACUGACACUGACGCUGAGGUGCGAAAGCGUGGGUAGCAAACAGGAUUAGAUACCCCAUGUC
rnacentral:rRNA from 1 species